rnacentral:rRNA from 1 species
AGUGAACGCUGGCGGUAGGCCUAACACAUGCAAGUCGAACGGCAGCACAGUAAGAGCUUGCUCUUACGGGUGGCGAGUGGCGGACGGGUGAGGAAUACAUCGGAAUCUACUUUUUCGUGGGGGAUAACGUAGGGAAACUUACGCUAAUACCGCAUACGACCUACGGGUGAAAGCAGGGGAUCUUCGGACCUUGCGCGAUUGAAUGAGCCGAGGUCGGAUUAGCUAGUUGGCGGGGUAAAGGCCCACCAAGGCGACGAUCCGUAGCUGGUCUGAGAGGAUGAUCAGCCACACUGGAACUGAGCCACGGUACAGACUCCUACGGGAGGCAGCAGUGGGGAAUAUUGGACAAUGGGCGCAAGCCUGAUCCAGCCAUACCGCGUGGGUGAAGAAGGCCUUCGGGUUGUAAAGCCCUUUUGUUGGGAAAGAAAAGCAGCAGGUUAAUACCCCGCUGUUCUGACGGUACCCAAAGAAUAAGCACCGGCUAACUUCGUG